AAUGAGAACUGGUCUCAGACAAAGAACUUUUACCAGGACUCACAAUGUAUACAUUGUGAGUCCUGGUACCAGUUCUUUGUCUGAGACCAGUUCUCUUUUUUUUCCUUCU
rnacentral:miRNA from 1 species